rnacentral:rRNA from 1 species
CGGGUGAGUAAUGCCUAGGAAUCUGCCUGGUAGUGGGGGAUAACGUUCGGAAACGGACGCUAAUACCGCAUACGUCCUACGGGAGAAAGCAGGGGACCUUCGGGCCUUGCGCUAUCAGAUGAGCCUAGGUCGGAUUAGCUAGUUGGUGGGGUAAUGGCUCACCAAGGCGACGAUCCGUAACUGGUCUGAGAGGAUGAUCAGUCACACUGGAACUGAGACACGGUCCAGACUCCUACGGGAGGCAGCAGUGGGGAAUAUUGGACAAUGGGCGAAAGCCUGAUCCAGCCAUGCCGCGUGUGUGAAGAAGGUCUUCGGAUUGUAAAGCACUUUAAGUUGGGAGGAAGGGCAGUAAAUUAAUACUUUGCUGUUUUGACGUUACCGACAGAAUAAGCACCGGCUAACUCUGUGCC